UAACCUUCCGCCACCUUGGUAACAACCAUUGGUUUCUUUAAUUUUUUGUUACUUGGUGUUUUUUCUAUUAAUGCUAUUGAAGCUUGGUUUUUUAAAAGUGUUUGUGUUUUUUAUUUUGUUUAUUAGAUGAGAAAGAUAGAAAUGAGAAGGUGACUGAUAAGAGAGAGGGAGGGGGUGUCGUUGGCCGGUCAACCGCCCCCUGGGUCAUUGAGCAAAC
rnacentral:lncRNA from 1 species